rnacentral:rRNA from 1 species
GGAGUGGCAUCACUCAGCUGUUAAAGCUCCGGCACUUAACGAUGGGCGUGCGGCUGA